rnacentral:rRNA from 1 species
CGCGGCCGCAGAGUUUGAUCAUGGCUCAGGACGAACGCUAGCGGCGCGCUUAAUACAUGCAAGUCGAGCGAGAACCUGGGCUUCGGCCCAGGGGACAGCGGCGAACGGGUGAGUAACACGUGGGUAAUCAACCCCCGACACCGGGAUAGCCCAGGGAAACUUGGAUUAAUACCGGAUGCCCCAUCUGGCUCUCGAGCCGGCUGGAAAAGGGUAGCUUCGGCCUCCGGUCGGGGACGAGCCCGCGGCGGAUUAGCUUGUUGGUGAGGUAAAGGCUCACCAAGGCGACGAUCAGUAGCUGGUCUGAGAGGACGAUCAGCCACACUGGGACUGAGACACGGCCCAGACUCCUACGGGAGGCAGCAGUAGGGAAUCUUGCGCAAUGGGCGAAAGCCUGACGCAGCGACGCCGCGUGAGGGAAGAAGGCCUUCGGGUUGUAAACCUCUUUCAGGAGGGACGAAGCCACUCGGGUUAAUAGCCCAGAGGGUGACGGUACCUCCAGAAGAAGCCCCGGCUAACUACGUGCCAGCAGCCGCGGUAAUACGUAGGGGGCAAGCGUUGUCCGGAUUUAUUGGGCGUAAAGAGCGUGUAGGCGGCCAAGCAGGUCCGCUGUGAAAACUCGAGGCUCAACCUCGAGAGGUCGGUGGAAACCGUUUGGCUAGAGUCCGGAAGAGGAGAGUGGAAU